rnacentral:rRNA from 1 species
UACGUAGGGGCGAGCGUUGUCCGGAUUUAUUGGGCGUAAAGAGCGUGUAGGCGGCCAGGUAGGUCUGCUGUGAAACUCGAGGCUCAACCUCGAGACGUCGGCGGAAACCAUCGUGGCUAGAGUCCGGAAGAGGAGAGUGGAAUUCCUGGUGUAGCGGUGAAUGCGCAGAUAUCAGGAAGAACACCCGUGGCGAAGGCGGCGUCUCUGGGACGGUACUGACGCUGAGACGCGAAAGCGUGGGGAGCGAACAGG